ACCCUUAGAUGUUCUGGGCCGCACGCGCGCUACACUGGUACGUUCAACAAGUUUACAACCUUGAUCGAUAGGUCUGGGUAAUCUUUUUAAUGCGUACCGUGCUAGGGAUAGAUUAUUGCAAUUAUUAAUCUUGAACGAGGAAUUCCUAGUAAACGCAAGUCAUCAGCUUGCAUUGAUUACGUCCCUGCCCUUUGUACACACCGCCCGUCGCACCUACUGAUUGAAUGACUCGGUGAAAAAUUGGGACUGUGAGAACAAUCGAUUCAGUUCGAAUGUACUCGUGGAAACUUUUUUUAACCUCNCNAUUUAGNAGAAGGUGAANUCGUANCA
rnacentral:rRNA from 1 species